CCUACGGGUGGCUGCAGUGGGGAAUCUUUGGCAAUGGGCGCAAGCCUGACCCAGCAACGCCGCGUGAAGGAAGAAGGCCCUCGGGUUGUAAACUUCUUUUGUCAGGGACGAAGAAAGUGACGGUACUUGCCGAAUAAGCAACGGCUAACUACGUGCAAGCAGCCGCGGUAAUACGUAGGUGGGAAGCGUUAUCCGGAUUUACUGGGUGUAAAGGGCGGGUAGGGGGUGCUGAAAGUCAGAUGUGAAAUUCCAGGGCUCAACCCUGGAAGGGCAUUGGAAACUGGAGUACUGGAGUGAUGGAGAGGGAGGCGGAAUGCCAUGUGUAGCGGUGAAAUGCGUAGAUAUACGGAGGAACACCAGUGGCGAAGGCGGCCGGCUGGACAGUAACUGACGCUGAGGCACGAAAGCGUGGGGAGCAAACAGGAUUAGAUACCCCAGUAGUC
rnacentral:rRNA from 1 species